rnacentral:rRNA from 1 species
GACAGAGGAUGCAAGCGUUAUCCGGAAUGAUUGGGCGUAAAGCGUCUGUAGGUGGCUUUUUAAGUCCGCCGUCAAAUCCCAGGGCUCAACCCUGGACAGGCGGUGGGAACUACCAAGCUGGAGUACGGUAGGGGCAGAGGGAAUUUCCGGUGGAGCGGUGAAAUGCGUAGAUAUCGGAAGGAACACCAGUGGCGAAAGCGGCUUCCUGGUCCGACACCGACGUUCAGGCACGAAAGCGUGGGGAGCAAACAGG